CCUACGGGAGGCAGCAGUGGGGAAUUUUGGACAAUGGGCGCAAGCCUGAUCCAGCAAUGCCGCGUGAGUGAAGAAGGCCUUCGGGUUGUAAAGCUCUUUUGUCAGGGAAGAAACGGUGGGGGCUAAUAUCCUCCACUAAUGACGGUACCUGAAGAAUAAGCACCGGCUAACUACGUGCCAGCAGCCGCGGUAAUACGUAGGGUGCAAGCGUUAAUCGGAAUUACUGGGCGUAAAGCGUGCGCAGGCGGUUUUGUAAGUCUGUCGUGAAAGCCCCGGGCUCAACCUGGGAAUUGCGAUGGAGACUGCAAGGCUUGAAUCUGGCAGAGGGGGGUAGAAUUCCACGUGUAGCAGUGAAAUGCGUAGAGAUGUGGAGGAACACCGAUGGCGAAGGCAGCCCCCUGGGUCAAGAUUGACGCUCAUGCACGAAAGCGUGGGGAGCAAACAGGAUUAGAUACCCUGGUAGUCCACGCCCUAAACGAUGUCUACUAGUUGUCGGGUUUUAAUUAACUUGGUAACGCAGCUAACGCGUGAAGUAGACCGCCUGGGGAAGUACGGUCGCAAGNUUAAAACUCAAAGGAAUUGACCGGNNGAGAGNGCGAGACGACGACGAGGAGGAGG
rnacentral:rRNA from 1 species